rnacentral:lncRNA from 1 species
AUUUUAUUGGGUCUAUUAGAAAUUUUCCAAGAACUAGCCCGACCUACAAUCAUGACAAAUGGAGACAUUUAAAUUAGAGAGGACUUAGUUUUAAAAAUAUGAGUUAAUAUUGUUUCUUUGAAAUCCAAAACCAGCCGAAAUGGCAACUUUAACAUGAGAAUAGAACUCCAUAAAUAGUAACUAUUGGUAUUGUUCACGUCAUUGUAUAAGGGAACUGUUCAUCCAAUACUAUUUAUGAUACUAUUCACGGCAUUGUUCAUCCGCAACAAUCAUAAAUUCAUCAAGGUAUGCACAUUGCACUCUCCUUAAGACCAAUUUUUGCUUCUUUAGGAAGAUUUCCUGAUGCAAUAAGAAUAUAAAUAAUGCGGAUCAAUCUCUAAGAUUCAAUGACGUCAUUGUUAUGAGGUUGCACUCCAAACAACAAUGUAAAAAAGUAAAAGAAAAAUUAUAAAGAAAACAUGAGAGAGGAGGAGAAGUCAUAGAGGUUGUUGUGCCUUGAAAGCCUUUUAUGAAAUCAUCUAUAAUCAUUUUCUUAAAUUCAAUUCGAAUUAGUCACCCACUUUCUCCUUAUUUAAUUUGAAUUAGUUAUCCAUAUAUCUGGCAAUUUAAUUCAAAUAAUAUAAUCCAAAUCACAUCUCGAUAUGACUGAAUUCUAUUUCAAAUCAAAUACAAAAGUGUUUGCUCUUACUUUCCUCUGAUGUGGGAAAUUAGUAUUUUGAAUUGAGUAAUGAUACAGCCACAAACUCUUGUACAAACUUAUUUUGUACAAACUGACGUGGCAUUAAUUCAUUGGUUGAAUGAAAAUAUAAAUUAAUAAAAACAAAUCAUGUGGGCCAAGUGAUAUUUAAUUCAACCAAUCUUAUCAUGCCACAUCAGUUUGUACAAAAUAAGUUUGUACAAGAGUUUGUGGCUGUAUCAUUACUCUUUUGAAUUACUAAUAAAAUUCCAACACUUAAUUCAAAAUUUUAUAAUUUAAUUUGGAGUACUUAAUUUGUUUCACUGUUCACUUGACUAUAUUUAAAGUCUCAAAAACUUAAAUUAUAUAUUAUUUUUAAAUUUUAAAAAAUAAUAAUAAAUAUUUAUUUUCAAUAUUGAAACUUUUAAAUUUUUUAAAAAUAAUAAUAAAUUAUUUAUUUUAAACACUAAAACUCAUUGUGGCUACAUUUGUAAAGUUUCUUUUCAACUGGAUACGCCCAUGCGCAGUGUACAUUGAAUCAACCAUAACCAAUGUCAUUGAUCUGAGGGUUUGCUUAUAAUACAGCCGUUGUGUCUCAGAUAGUCACUUAUUAUUAUUAUUAUUAUUAUUUUGUCUGAACCACGAGGUGGUCUGAUACUCCAUAUUAGAUGUUUUAUUAUCAGAAUGUAUAUACAGCCUAUUUAUAUAUGACAUUAUUUUUAAAUUUAAUAAGCCUUGUAUUACUUAUAACAACAACAACAAUAAUAAUAGGUAAAGGGAAUUUUUAACUCUUAUCUCCUAUAUGAGUAUUGUUGGUUUAAAAACAUUUUGCAUAGAAAACUUUGAACCGCAGUUCUCAUGCAACAUAUAGAAUUAACAUAGUCUAGAAAUUAUACGUUUGUUUUUUCAUAGAAGUAAUUUAGGCUGCCAAUUCAUGAUCUGCCACUACCAAUUUUGUUAGAUCACGAUCUGUCACCAACGAUCUUAUUGGAUCACGAUUUGUCAUCAACGAUCUUUUAUGUUAUGAUUCAAGUUCGGCCUGCACUUGACAUGUGGGUGCCAUUAAUUAAGUAGUUUACAAUUUGAUUUUGGGUAAAUAACUUGUUGUUUUGAAAUUAAAGUUCAAGGAAAGAACUAUUGCUAUUUCGUUAUCAAUGGGCUACAUAUGUUGCCAAGUUGAUUAUAGCCUAUAAUCACGAGGUAAUAUAUGAGUAGUUUAUUAUUAUUCAAUACACAAAAAGCUAGUGGGUAAUGAACAUGGGUAACUUGAAAUUGUAAAUACCCAAAACACUAGAAAUGUAUCACAUCAAAAAUUGUAGAACAAACAGAUUUAAUUAGAAUAAAACAUUUGGCAGAAACAAAUUGUAUCAUAUUGUCAGUUAUGAAAAAUUCUGAGUUAACCAACAAAAGCCAGGGAUAUGAGUAAAUAAGAAAUUAUAGCGUGACCACCUACCUCCUUACGCCUCUAAAAAGAAGCAAAUGUUCUUCCUCCACAAGGAUCAUGUAGAAACUGAAGGGCACUUAGUUGCUCAAACACCUGCAGUUUCUACCCAAGAUCCAAGAUCAGAUUCCUAGAUGCUUUUUGUAGGUGACUCGAAAAAGGUU